AAGAUGUUAGUAAAAUAUAUUACAAGACCUUGUCAAGGCCUAAUUACUAGUUCAACCCUUGUACAUCUUA
rnacentral:tRNA from 1 species